rnacentral:lncRNA from 1 species
AGGCAGCCAUAAUGGAAGCAAUGUACAGAAUGAAAGUAGCACCGCUCCAAAUGUUACAAGACCGAACAUGGAGAGUGGCAUCAUGGACGAAAAUGGGGCUGAAGGUGGCAAUGGAAGUGGGAGCGGGCCGAGCGGAGGCAGUGGCAAUGACAUGUAUCAGAAUCAGCUCAGCCAACGAGAAGCUGCAGUGAACAAAUUCAGACAAAAACGGAAAGAGAGGAACUUUGGAAAAAAGGUAACCUGUUUUCACUUGCAAGUCUUCUAAAGCUGGGAGUUCCAGAAUUAGUACUGUAUCAAUUUCUUCAAGGACCCUUUCAGUUUGAGUCGGUAUAGUAAGAUGACCGGGAAUGUUAUCCGAAUAGUUGGAUGAAAACCAGAAGGUCCACAACCCAAAAAAUUGCUUAUGAAUCUAGACUACUUGAUUUAGAAAGAGAGAAAACCAAACUUAUGUUAAUUCCAAGCAUGAUAGGGCCUAACUUCUUUAAAUGGAAAUACCGUAGCAGCAUGAGGUAAGGAACACUAACAUGAUACGCUCAACAAAUUAAUUCAUAAUAUGUCUUGGAGAGUA